UACGGAGGGUGCGAGCGUUGUCCGGAAUCACUGGGCGUAAAGGGCGCGUAGGCGGCAUGCCAAGCGUGUGGUGAAAGCCCGGGGCUCAACCCCGGGUCGGCCGUGCGGACUGGCGUGCUCGAGCACUGUAGGGGCGGGUGGAAUUCCGGGUGUAGCGGUGGAAUGCGUAGAGGUCCGGAAGAACACCGGUGGCGAAGGCGGCACUCUGGGACGGUACUGACGCUGAGACGCGAAAGCGUGGGGAGCAAACAGG
rnacentral:rRNA from 1 species